rnacentral:rRNA from 1 species
AUUGAACGAUGGCGGCAGGCUUAACACAUGCAAGUCGAGCGAGCGGCGGAGGGGUGAGUAAUGUCUGGGAAACUGCCUGAUGGAGGGGGAUAACUACGGGAAACGGUAGCUAAUACCGCAUACAAUAAGAUGUGCCCAGAUGGGAUGAGCUAGUAGGUGGGGUAAUGGCGUACCUAGGCGACGAUCCCUAGCUGGUUUGAGAGGUGGACCAGCCACACUGGAACUGAGACACGGUCCAGACUCCUACGGGAGGCAGCAGUGGGGAAUAGUGCACAAUGGGCGCAAGCCUGAUGCAGCCAUGCCGCGUGUGUGAAGAAGGCCUUCGGGUUGUAAAGCACUUUCAGCGAGGAGGCGUUACUCGCAGAAGAAGCACCGGCUAACUCCGUGCCAGCAGCCGCGGUAAUAC